rnacentral:rRNA from 1 species
AUUGAACGCUGGCGGCAUGCCUUACACAUGCAAGUCGAACGGCAGCACGGAGCAAUCCUGGUGGCGAGUGGCGAACGGGUGAGUAAUAUAUCGGAACGUGCCCAGUAGUGGGGGAUAACUGCUCGAAAGAGCAGCUAAUACCGCAUACGACCUGAGGGUGAAAGGGGGGGAUCGCAAGACCUCUCGCUAUUGGAGCGGCCGAUAUCAGGAUUAGCUAGUUGGUGGGGUAAAGGCCUACCAAGGCAACGAUCUGUAGUUGGUCUGAGAGGACGACCAGCCACACUGGGGCUGAGACACGGCCCAGACUCCUACGGGAGGCAGCAGUGGGGAAUUUUGGACAAUGGGCGCAAGCCUGAUCCAGCAAUGCCGCGUGCAGGAAGAAGGCCUUCGGGUUGUAAACUGCUUUUGUCAGGGAAGAAAUCCUCUAGGUUAAUACCCUUGGGGGGAUGACGGUACCUGAAGAAUAAGCACCGGCUAACUACGUGCCAGCAGCCGCCGUAAAAC